rnacentral:rRNA from 1 species
CGCGAUAAUACGGAGGAUGCGAGCGUUAUCCGGAUUUACUGGGUUUAAAGGGUGCGCAGGCGGUUGUUUAACUCAGGGGUGAAAUUCCGGGGCUCAACCCAGGGACUGCCUGAACUGGGAACUAGCUCAGAGUGAAGAUGGAGUGCGUGGAAGAAUGCAGUGCAGUGCAGUCACUGUGAAAUGUAUAGAUAUAACACAGAACACCGAGUGAAAGCGGCAGCUCACUAAACUUCAACUGACGCUCAUGCACGAAAGCGUGGGGAUCAAACAGGAUUAGAUACCCUGGUAGUCCACGC